AACGAACGCUGGCGGCAUGCUUAACACAUGCAAGUCGAACGAGACCUUCGGGUCUAGUGGCGCACGGGUGCGUAACGCGUGGGAAUCUGCCCUUUGCUACGGAAUAACUCAGAGAAAUUUGUGCUAAUACCGUAUAAUGUCGUAAGACCAAAGAUUUAUCGGCAAAGGAUGAGCCCGCGUAAGAUUAGAUUGUUGGUGGGGUAAAGGCCUGCCAAGGCGACGAUCUUUAGCUGGUCUGAGAUGAUGAUCAGCCACACUGGGACUGAGACACGGCCCAGACUCCGACGGGAGGCAGCAGCGGGGAAUAGUGGACAAUGGGCGAAAGCCUGAUCCAGCAAUGCCGCGUGAGUGAUGAAGGCCUUAGGGUUGUAAAGCUCUUUUACCAGGGAUGAUAAUGACAGUACCUGGAGAAUAAGCUCCGGCUAACUCCGUGCCAGCCGCUGCAGUAAGAC
rnacentral:rRNA from 1 species